CCUAUGGGGUGCANCAGGCGAGAAAACUUUGCAAUGUGCGAAAGCACGACAAGGUUAAUCCGAGUGGUUUCUGCUAAAGGAACCUUUUGUNAGUCCUAGAACCCACNUAGUUGANGAAGGGNGGGCAAUAUUGUGG
rnacentral:rRNA from 1 species